UCGCGGCUUAUCACCGGCAGUCCCCUUAGAGUGCCCAACUGAAUGAUGGCAACUAAGGGCGAGGGUUGCGCUCGUUGCGGGACUUAACCCAACAUCUCACGACACGAGCUGACGACAGCCAUGCAGCACCUGUGUUCUGGCUCCCUUUCGGGCACCCUCGCCUCUCGGCAAGGUUCCAGACAUGUCAAGGGUAGGUAAGGUUUUUCGCGUUGCAUCGAAUUAAUCCACAUCAUCCACCGCUUGUGCGGGUCCCCGUCAAUUCCUUUGAGUUUUAAUCUUGCGACCGUACUCCCCAGGCGGCCAACUUCACGCGUUAGCUUCGUUACUAAGGAAGUCUCCUUCCCCAACAACUAGUUGGCAUCGUUUAGGGCGUGGACUAC
rnacentral:misc_RNA from 1 species